UACGUAGGGUGCAAGCGUUGUCCGGAAUUAUUGGGCGUAAAGGGCUCGUAGGCGGCCAACUAAGUCAGACGUGAAAUCCCUCGGCUUAACCGGGGAACUGCGUCUGAUACUGGUUGGCUUGAAUCCGGGAGAGGGAUGUGGAAUUCCAGGUGUAGCGGUGAAAUGCGUAGAUAUCUGGAGGAACACCGGUGGCGAAGGCGGCAUCCUGGACCGGUAUUGACGCUGAGGAGCGAAAGCCAGGGGAGCAAACGGG
rnacentral:rRNA from 1 species